rnacentral:rRNA from 1 species
AUGGCAGCUCUCAGCUCCACGGCCGCGGCCAUUGCCAUCCUCGCGCUGGCGACCGUGGCCGGCGUAGCUCUAGGGACGACGGCGGCGGCAAAGAAGGGGCCGGUGAUCUACAUAUUCGGCGACUCGAUGUCGGACGUCGGCAACAACAACUACCUCCUCCUCUCCAUCGCCAAGUGCAACUACCCCUGGUACGGGAUUGACUACGAAGGCGGCUACCCCACCGGGAGGUUCACCAAUGGCAGGACCAUCGGAGACAUCAUGGCUGCCAAGUUUGGCGUGCCACCGCCGCCGCCGUUCCUCUCCCUGUACAUGACCGACGACGAGGUUCUCGGCGGCGUCAACUUCGCGUCCGGCGGCGCGGGACUUCUCAACGAGACCGGCAUUUACUUCGUCGAGUACCUGUCGUUCGACAACCAGAUAUCCUACUUCGAGCAGAUCAAGAACGCCAUGGUCGGCAAGAUCGGCAAGAAGGCCGCCGAGGAAGUGGUCAAUGGCGCAAUCUUCCAGAUCGGGCUUGGGAGCAACGACUACGUCAACAACUUCUUGCGGCCGUUCAUGGCGGACGGCCUCGUGUACACCCACGACCAGUUCAUCGGCCUGCUCAUGGACACCAUCGACCAGCAGCUCACGAGGCUGUACCAUCUCGGGGCGCGUAAUGUGUGGUUCACGGGGCUCGCGCCGCUCGGCUGCAUCCCGUCGCAGCGCGUCCUCUCGGACAACGGCGAGUGCCUUGAAGACGUGAACGCGUACGCCCUUCAGUUCAACGCCGCGGCCAAGGAGCUGCUGGACCGCCUCAACGCCAAGCUCCCCGGCGCGCGCAUGUCCCUCGCCGACUGCUACUCCGUCGUCAUGGAGCUCAUCGAGCACCCCAGGAAAUACGGUUUCACGACGUCCCACACGUCGUGCUGCGACGUGGACACGUCGGUGGGGGGCCUGUGCCUGCCGACGGCGGACGUCUGCGACGACCGCAGCCAGUUCGUGUUCUGGGACGCGUACCACACCUCCGACGCGGCCAACCAGGUCAUCGCCGGCCGCCUCUACGCCGACAUGGUGAGCGCCGGCGACGUGCAGCAGGGCAACACCACCGUCUCCGACGCGCCUCGCGUCGUCCGGUCACCACGCCCCGUGCCGCCUCCCCGGCCCGCGGUGCGUGGCGGCAACACCACCUCCGCGCCCCGCGCCUCGCCCACUGCGAGGCCUGUGAAUGGCAACGGCACCACCUCUGCGCCCCGCGCCUCGCCCGCCGCGAGGCCUGUGAACGGCAACGGCACCACUUCUGCGCCUCCCGUCGUCGGAUCAUCCUCCCACGCCGCGCCGCCUCCCAAGCCUUGA